UACGAAGGGGGCGAGCGUUGUUCGGAUUUACUGGGCGUAAAGGGCGCGCAGGCGGUUCUGUUUGUCGAGUGUGAAAGCCCCGGGCUCAACCUGGGAACUGCGCUCGAAACGGCGGAACUAGAGUUCGGGAGAGGAGAGUGGAAUUCCCAGUGUAGAGGUGAAAUUCGUAGAUAUUGGGAAGAACACCGGUGGCGAAGGCGGCUCUCUGGGGACGGUACUGACGCUGAGACGCGAAAGCGUGGGGAGCGAACAGGA
rnacentral:rRNA from 1 species